rnacentral:rRNA from 1 species
GACGAACGCUGGCGGCGUGCCUAAUACAUGCAAGUAGAACGCACAGUUUAUACCGUAGCUUGCUACACCAUAGACUGUGAGUUGCGAACGGGUGAGUAACGCGUAGGUAACCUGCCUGGUAGCGGGGGAUAACUAUUGGAAACGAUAGCUAAUACCGCAUAAUAUUGAUUAUUGCAUGAUAAUUAAUUGAAAGGUGCAAUUGCACCACUACCAGAUGGACCUGCGUUGUAUUAGCUAGUAGGUGAGGUAACGGCUCACCUAGGCGACGGUACAUAGCCGACCGGAAGGGGUGAUCGGCCAAACUGGGACUGAGACACGGCCCAGACCCCUACGGGAGGGAGCAGUAGGGAAUCUUCGGAAAUGGACGAAAGUCCGACCGAGCAACGCCGCGUGAGGGAAGAAGGUUUUCGGAUCGUAAAGGUCUGUUGUAAGAGAAGAAAGGGUGUGAGAGUGGAAAGUUCACACUGUGACGGUAUCUUACCAGAAAGGGACGGCUAACUACGUG